AAUUAUUUUAUCAAGGUGCAUUUAGUUUUGAAGGCUUUACUAGAUUAGUUCAGAGCUCUCCGAAUAGCGUAAAUCAAUCAUGGGCGAAUUCCAACAUGGUCUUUUUGGAUGUUUUGAUGAUAUCAAAACCUGCGUCAUUGCAUAUUUUGUGCCUUGUUUCGUGUUUGGAAAGAAUGCCGAAAAGGUUGGCGAAAGUUGCAUCAUGUGCGCAUUAGCCUUAUAUGUACCCGGUCUUAACAUUUUUGCUGUGACAAAAAUCCGGGGGACUAAUAAGAGAGCAAAAAGGUAUAGAAGGGAGCUGUUGUAAUGAUCUCUUGAUCUGGUGGUUCUGUGGUUUAUGUGCUUUGAUACAAGAAGCCCAAGAGGUUGGAUCGAUGAAUGAUGGUCAAACAAUGGCCCGGGAGUAGGAUAAAAGCACUGCAAUCCUUUAGACGAAGAAGUGGAACUGAUUGAACUUCGGGAUGGAAUCAGGAAUUCUUUAACUGUGAUAUAAACAUUUUUACUCGAUUUCUUUAUGUAUUCUAUGAAUUGGACUUUAUUGGACUUUUUACUCAUUUAAAUUUGGAAUUAAUUUUUACUUUUAGAAGAACAACUACAUUUUCUAUAAGGGAUUGUUUAGUGACAUUUAUGGAUUAUACACCACCAUAAAGAACUCCUCUAUGCGUCAUUCAAAUUUAUAGUAUUUUUAUAUUUCUAACUAUAUAGAUUUUAAUUUUGUAAUUAAUUACAAAUUAAAGUUUUUGUUUUUGUAAUAAAAUUUGCUAUAUUUCAGUAAA